CUCGCAGUGAAGAUAAAGCCUGCAUGUGCUAGUACAUGGAAGUUGAAUUGCUGCUUGUGAGAAGCUUCACUUCUCAUUGUGAGGGCCUUUAGGAGGGAGGAAGCAAUUCCUGCCUUUGGAAAACAGCAGAUUUUCAGGACCAUUUCAAGGUCAUUUGGGAGCUACACAUUCUGGUGGCAGUUCAGUAAAGCACAUAAGCAUGUGGCUACCCCCACUGAAGUCAAUGACAAGACCCACAGAGGGAGGCUGAGUGGUUUCCAACACAGGAUGUAUGGAAGGAAGAAAGAUUUGGCUGUUUCCCAAGCCGGAAGUAUAUUUGGUUUCUCAUACAGCUGAGCUGCCAACAUGAUUGGGGUUUUAAGGCACUGCUGAAAAAUAGUAAAAAGAGUAGUGAGAGGAAGAGCUUCCAUUUCCACAAAGACAUGCUGCAGCCCUUUUGGCAUCCAUAAGGACAGGAGACAUAUGUGCCAAAGUCUUGUGCAUGACAGAGUUCCAAGGUGGGUUCCCUGUGUAUUGAGCCUACAGUCUGCCUAGUUUUAAGCUUAGGUAUAUUUUCUUUGCAUUUUUAAAUGAUAAUUUCCAUUAACUUGCAAAACCUUGGUGUUAUUUUAAUAAGGCAACUAAAUAUGUAGUUUAAAA